rnacentral:rRNA from 1 species
UCUAAUACCGGAUAUGACCGUCCAUCGCAUGGUGGAUGGUGUAAAGCUCCGGCGGUGCAGGAUGAGCCCGCGGCCUAUCAGCUAGUUGGUGAGGUAGUGGCUCACCAAGGCGACGACGGGUAGCCGGCCUGAGAGGGCGACCGGCCACACUGGGACUGAGACACGGCCCAGACUCCUACGGGAGGCAGCAGUGGGGAAUAUUGCACAAUGGGCGAAAGCCUGAUGCAGCGACGCCGCGUGAGGGAUGACGGCCUUCGGGUUGUAAACCUCUUUCAGCAGGGAAGAAGCGAAAGUGACGGUACCUGCAGAAGAAGCGCCGGCUAACUACGUGCCAGCAGCCGCGGUAAUACGUAGGGCGCAAGCGUUGUCCGGAAUUAUUGGGCGUAAAGAGCUCGUAGGCGGCUUGUCACGUCGGUUGUGAAAGCCCGGGGCUUAACCCCGGGUCUGCAGUCGAUACGGGCAGGCUAGAGUUCGGUAGGGGAGAUCGGAAUUCCUGGUGUAGCGGUGAAAUGCGCAGAUAUCAGGAGGAACACCGGUGGCGAAGGCGGAUCUCUGGGCCGAUACUGACGCUGAGGAGCGAAAGCGUGGGGAGCGAACAGGA